GAUAAUAGACUGAUCUUCUUCAAGAGCUCACAUCGACAGAAAGAUUUAGCAUUUUGAUGUCAGCUCUUCGCCACCUAGGGUGGUAGUAUAUUUCAAGUUUGGGUUGUUCACCCAUUAAGCGGUACGUCAGUUGGGUUCAGAAUCGUGAGAAGUUUC
rnacentral:ncRNA from 1 species